GUGCUCGCUUCGGCAGCACAUACACUAAAAUUGGAAUGAUACAGAGAAGAUUAGCAUGGCCCCUGUGCAAGGAUGACACGAAAAUUCGUGAAGCGUUUCAUAUUUUU
rnacentral:snRNA from 1 species